rnacentral:rRNA from 1 species
UGCCAGCCGCCGCGGUAAUACGGAGGGUGCUAGCGUUGUUCGGAAUUACUGGGCGUAAAGAGCAUGUAGGCGGACUAUUAAGUCAGGGGUGAAAUCCCGGGGCUCAACCCCGGAAGUGCAUUGGAAACUGGCGAACUUGAGUACGGGAGAGGAAAGUGGAAUUCCGAGUGUAGGGGUGAAAUCCGUAGAUAUUCGGAGGAACACCAGUGGCGAAGGCGGCUUUCUGGACCGAUACUGACGCUGAGACACGAAAGCGUGGGGAGCAAACAGGAUUAGAUA